GCCACCAACGCUAUGCGACAGAGCGUGGGAAUGGCCGCGCCUGGCCCUGUUCGCGAAAGCCCACGACCCGCGCUGCCUUUUCCCCGCCUUGACCACUAGCGCCAUGCCCUUGCCUUGGCCGCCCCACAAACCCCAGCACCGCGAGCCCCCUGAUCCUCGCCACUCAUCUGUGGCACGGACGCCAAAAAUCCUCGCCGUUCCGGUGCCUGUCUCGGAGCCCCAGCCCAGGCGCCCCUAUAAAACCCCCAAUCGGCCGCCUUGAACCCAAGAGCCCGGGGAUUUUUCCCCUUGACGCCGCCACGAGCAGAACAGAGAGGAAGAGGGCCAAGAAGGGGAGAAGCAUAGGAGAGCUCGGAGACAAGGGAGAAGAAUGAGAAGGAGAGGAGGGGUUCCGCGCUGCUGCCGCGCCAAGGAGGAGGCCAAGGAGGAGGACACCGCUGCUACUACCAGAGGACGCCGCCGUCGAGGAGCUUCACUGUGCCUGCGCCCCGAACGACGACAAUGGCGAACCUACGUGGCACGACACUGCGUUGACCCAGCCUGCAUCACCUCGCCAUGGCGCCGAGCACCGCAUCCCCAAGCCUGUCUGGAGGAUGGAGUGCUUUAUGCAAUCACAUGGAGGACUUUGGAGUGAUGACCGUGUACGUGUAUGACCCACAGCGAUGUACAACCAUAACUGACUUCAGAGGCAUGGCGUUUGCACGAGCUCAUAAUGAGAAAGAAAACUAUAGGUUUGAAUUUGUAUGUAAAUAAUGUAAAGGCUCUGGAAUAGGUAUAUGACAAACUAAGCACAAGAGUCACCUUGUUUUGUGUUUUCAAAAUAAAAAACUUCCAAGACUUUGAAUUA